rfam:Xenopus laevis strain J chromosome 1S, whole genome shotgun sequence.
CAAUAGGCUUUUUAAAGCCACACAAAGCCUCUACUAAUUUAAUU